GUAGUCAUAUGCUUGUCUCAAAGCUUAAGCCAUGCAUGUCUAAGUUCAAGCAAACAUAACGUGAAACCGCGAAUGGCUCAUUAAACCAGUUAUGGUUCCUUAGAUCGUACUUACUACUUGGAUAACUGUGGUAAUUCUAGAGCUAAUACAUGCAAAGAGCUCCGACCCUCGUGGAAGGAGUGCUUUUAUUAGAUCAAAGCCAAUCGGGUCUUCGGAUCCGUUUCAUUGGUGACUCUGAAUAACUUUGCUGAUCGCAUGGUCUCGUACCGGCGACGUAUCUUUCAAGUGUCUGCCUUAUCAACUUUCGAUGGUAGGUUAUGCGCCUACCAUGGUUGCAACGGGUAACGGGGAAU
rnacentral:rRNA from 1 species